CAUCGACUCACGCGUUCACCUCCUUCCGGUCUAAAUGGGGCCCACGCGUCAUCACAGAGUAUCUGGGAGCCCUGCCCUCUUGCAGAUGGGAAUGAAGGCCCAGGUGCUCUGGAGAGGUGACUCUCCUCUAGGUGUCUCGCUUCUCAGAAAGGAAACACUGGUUCUGUAAACCUGUUUGAGAAGAAAAGCUCGAGGUUUCUUGGCCUCUCUGCUUCUGGAGCCAGGGGAAAAAAUAGCCCCAGGCUGAAGACAGGAGGGACCAGAUUGCUGCUUGGUGAUGCGAUCUCACUGCAGAGGCAGCCAGGAGACCCUCCUGAGACGAAUCGGAGAGUCCAUGCUGCUUUUACACACAUCCUAGUUCUUUUAUAACUAGCCUUUUCCUAUUAACGGACAUCAUUCAAAAGCCAGUUUUAAGCAACAUAAAUAUUGAAAACAAUACUAUACUAUUUAGAAUUAAUUAUAAGUUUUGUUUUUAAAGCCUAAAUCUUUUAUUGUUGUUUGAACCCUGGGCACUGAAGCUAAUAAUGUAACUUUUCUCCCUUCUUUCUUCUUUGGCAUAGAUUUAAAGAACUGUUAGACUCAUUUAAAAUGCUAUUAGGCAUUUUAAAGAGUAAUUGUUAAAUGUGUUGUCUCUUGUGGGACUGGAAAUGUUCUGUUCUUAUCUGGCGCUGGUUACAUCCUGUUUUUCAUUUGGGAAAGUGCAUUGAGCUGGAAAUUUAUAUGUUCAAUUUCUGUAUGUAAAUUGUACUUCAGUAAAAAUUUUCAAAAAAG
rnacentral:lncRNA from 1 species